GCGGCCGGGCCCGCCCCGGCUCUCGGCGGUUCUGGGGGUCCCAGUCGGGGCCCUGGAGGCAGCCGUGGCUCCGCUGGCAUCGGGGCUGCGUCCUUCCCGAGCGGCGGUGCGGGCACCGGGCUGAGGGGAGGGAGCGGAGGGCCGGCUCUCCCCGCUCUCCCGCCCCAGGGCAGCGGCGGGUGAGGGCAGCGCGUCCCGCCCGGCGCCUGCGAGCUCCCGCCGCCUCCCUCCGCCUGCCUUUAUCCCUGCAGCGGCCGGACAGGCGGCUUUGCCCCGGGGCUUCGCGGAGUUUGCUCGGGGGAAGCGGGGACCAAGGCACGGCCGGAUCAGAGGCUGAAAAUGGCACUUGGACACUAUGAAACCAGUGAGGUUCUGAGAAAUGCUGCUGAGCAGGAACAUACCCUUGGUGGUGAUGGCACAUCAGGAUCCAGGAUGAUGGACCAAAGCGUGUCAGCUCUAGUCACAGAGUAUGGUAAACGCGUGGAGGAGAUGAAGGAACAGCUGCAGCUUUAUCAGGCACAAAUGGGGGAGAUGAUGCUGAAAUUGGAAGAAGUCACCAAGGAAAAUGAAAGGCUGCAUGCAGAGUUGAAAGAGCCUCUUGAGGAGCAGCUGGAGGCUCUUCCUUUCGUGCAUCUGGACACUGAUAUUCCUGCAGAUGAAGGCAUAGUGAGAACCCUUCAGGAACAGCUACGGCUGGAAAAGCAAGAAAAAGACCAAGCAGUUGAGCGCUGGCAGACGCUGUCAUGGGAGCACGAUCGACUUCAGCAGAAGUACCAGGAGCACCUGACCAAAACACACAUCCUCAUGGCUGAAAGGAAAAAGCAGAAUGAUCAACUGACCAGCUUUCAGCAGCUGACUCGCCAACUGCACACGGCCAAGGAGAAAAUUGAGUUGACCAAUCAGCAGUUUCUGAAAACUGUGACAGAACAAGAUGUGGAACUAGACAAGCUACGAAAACAGCUGAGGCAAGCCAAAAUAGAUGGGCAGGUAGCAAAUGCCAAGCUUGAAGAAAUGAUGGCAUUGAAAGAGAAGCUUCAUAGCCAAUUGGAGAGAAAGGAAGAAGACAGGAUAUCUGCCCAGGAGAGAGAAACAGCCUCUGACAAACGCUUGCAGCAAAUGCAGUCUAGUCUGAAACAGUUAGAAAUAAGAUUGUGUGUGACUGUUCAAGAUGCUGAACGGCUGAGAACAGAAAAAGUAGCCCUGGAGGAACAGAUCAGAGAGCUUCAGGUCAAGUCUGCCAGUCUAGAAAGUGAGAAGUACGAUGCUGUUGCAAAAGUGCAAGACUGCAUACAGCUCUUGGAAGAAGCUAACCUUUUAAAAAGUCAGGCACUCUUUGGGGAGAAACAAAAGGAAGAAGAGAUCAAAAAACUGCAGGAGGAAAUGUCUCAACUUGCAGAGAAUACUGCUGCAAGAAUUAGAAAGGAAGUAGACACUGCAAAGAAGCAAUGUAACCUGCAGGUUUCUCGGCUAACAGAAGAAGUUUCAGCUCUGCAGAUGGAAUGUGGAGAAAAACAGAGUCAAAUUGAACGAGCCAUUAGAGAAAAAAGAGCAGUGGAAGAAGAACUUGAAAAGAUUUACAGGGAAUCCAGAGAGCAUGAAUCUGACAGCAGAAAGUUUGAGCAGCUGCAUCAGAAGUAUUUACUUGCAGAAGCUGCCAAAGAUGACCUUCAGCGGAGCCUGCAGAUGACACAAAAUAAACUGAAACAGCUGGAAAUGAACUCUGAGGAAGACAAAUCCCGUUGCCAGGAAGUUAUCUGUAAAUUGCAAAGCACUCUGGAUUCAGAAAGAGAAAAGAGUGCCUUUGUCAGUGAACAAAGACUAAAACUUCAGCAGGAGAAUGAACAAUUGCAAAACGAAAUGGACGGUUUGAGAAAACUGGCAGUAGAGGCUCAACAAAAAGCUAAAAUAAAGAUAAGCACAAUGGAACACGAGCAUGCAGUGAAGGAACGUGGGUACGAAGCUCGGCUCAGGGAGAUGGAGGACACCAGCCACAGAUCCACUGCUGAGCUCAGGCGUCUCCUGGCAGCUCAGCAAAAAGCAACAAACCGCUGGAAAGAAGAAACAAAAACCCUCACUGACACUGCAGAAGCCAGGAUCAGCAAGCUGAAAAGUGAGCUGCGUCGACAAAAACUCCGUAGCCAGGAGCUCAUUUCCCAGCUGGAAACAGCAAAUGAGAAGGCAGCUGAGGAUGAGAUGCAGAUGACGGAAUAUCGGGAAUACAUCGACAGGCUCCAGAGGCGGCUGAGCCAGGCGGAGCAGAGAGCAGCCACAGCCUCCCAGCAGGUACCCAGCUCAUAGGAACUGUUACCCAAGCACAUGGCACGGGCCAAAGUACUCACUGGACAUCAUUCCUGAGGCAGAGCUUACCCUGAUAACUACACAGAAUAAAAAAGCUGUUUCCCUGAAGGAUCUGGAAAACAUUUAAACGUGUUUUUAUCACUCACCAUGUUGGCAGCUAGGAGCGUUGCUGGAGAAACUUCAUAUUGGAGCACUACAGUCAAAAGCACAGCAAGGCUGGUAAAACUUCAGACAAAUUCUGGGUUUUUUCUGGUAAGAAAGGGAAUGGAUGAAGGUCCUGUCUCUGUAUGCACAAUAAAGAUUGGAAGAAGACUGCAAA